UUAAAAAAAAUAACCCAGAUUAACAGACAAAAAUUGUAAUAUUCAGAUUAAAAGGUGAAAUGUGAACAGCCAAGCCCCAAAAUUACAAAAAACCACACCUGAGGUGCAACUGUAGAAGUGACUGUAAAUAGUCCAGCUAAGGCUCUUUUUUUUCCCCACAGAAUUCCCAAAAUUAGGCUGAUUUCAGAUACAGACUUUUUGUUUUUGUAGCUUUGCCAGCUCCACGUGGAAUUUGGGAUUUCACAUUCCUCCCCUUGGGUGGCCCUGCAGGAAUCCCCAAAUAAAUGACAUUUUUUUACUGAUUUUUCACCCCAAAAGCAGUGACAAGAGCCCACCCUGAAUGUGGCAUUGCCACCACCCCGUUCCCCUGAGGAAAAGCUGCCACAUUUGUACAAAAAAAGGGGAAUUUCCCCCCAAUUCCAACUUCUGCUGCCACAGCUUUUGGAAACUCUUCCCAGUCCAGGGGAUGCCAGCAGAAACCUGGAGCUCAGGUUUUGGUUUGGCUGCUGGAUGUGCCCCUCAGGGACAUUCCUGGGGGUUUUCUUGGGUGUUAAAACACAUUUUUGGGGGAGUUAAAACUUACUUUAUAUGUGCUAAAUCCCAUUUUUGGGAGUAAAAACCCCAUUUUUUGUGGGUUAAACCCCAUUUUUGUGUGUGUGUGUGUGCUAAAACCCACCUCAUGUGUGUUAAAACCCAUUUUUGGGGAUGAAAACAUUUUUGUGUAUCAAAACACAAUUUAUGUGUGUUAAACCCAUUUUUGGGGGUUAAACUCCAUUUUUGUUGUGUGUUAAAACCCACCUUAUAUGUGUUAAAACCCAUUUUUGGAGGUUAAACCCCUUUUUCUCCACGGCAGAACUCCAUGAAAAUCCCAUUUUUGAGGGGAUUUAGCUGCCAGCUGAGUUCAGGCCAGAGAAAACCCUGGAAUGUGGCACAGAAAUUGGAGUUCCAGGGGCAGCAGAGGGAGGAGUUGAGGGGAAUUUUGAAGUUUUUCCAGCAGGAACAGCUCUGGGAUGCACCAGGCCACUCAGGGGUACUGUGCCAGUUCCUCUUGGAGCUGGAGCAGGAUUUUUAGGGAUUGGGGGGUGUUGAUCCAGGGGGAUUCUCCUGUUUCAUUUCUCUUUGACAGGGGAUGAAUGAACAGCAUCAAACUUCAUCGUUCCAUGGUUUUCUGGAGCCAAAAAGACUCUCAAAACCCAAGAUUCUGCCCAAACUCAGAACUGCCCAGCUCCAGAAGCCUCAAAACAUUUUCUGUUCAUCUCCUCCACCCUGAGGCUCCUGAGCAAACCCAACUCUGGCAGAACGAAGAAUUCCCACCAUUCCCAGGAAAACAACAACAAAAAAAACCCCAAAAAUAAACCACAAAAAAUUAUAAAAAAA